rnacentral:rRNA from 1 species
ACGCUUGAAGUCAGUCGCGUCGACCGAGACUCAGCCUUGCCUUGGCUUGGUGUACUUCUCGGCUGACGGGUCAGCAUCAAUUUUGAUCCUCGGAUAAUGGCAAGGGAAAGGUAGCACCUUUUUAGGUGUGUUAUAGUCCUUUGUCGCAUAUGGGGGUUGGGAUUGAGGAACUCAGCACGCACCUCUCGGUGUCGGGGCCUCGGCCCACGCUACGUGCUUAGGAUGCUGGCGUAAUGGCUUUAAACGACCCGUCUUGAAACACGGACCAAGGAGUC